rnacentral:rRNA from 1 species
UAGAGAAAGGAUUUGAUUUUGGUCCAGAGAAGAGGUAGUCGUCGGAAUUACACAUGCGAAUAAAGUAUCGUUAGAUACUGUGAACGGGUGAGUAAUGUAUAGGUAUCUACCCUGUGUUUCAUUUAUGGAUGCAGGAUGAGCCUAUAUUGUAUUAGCUAGUUGGUGGGGUAAUGGCCUACCAAGGCGAUGAUGCAUAGCCAGAUUGGAAGAUCGUUUGGCCACAUGGGAACUGAGACAAGGACCCAGGUUCGUAAAGAAUGCAGCAGUGAGGAAUGUUGGGCAAUUAGCGAGAGCUAGACCCAGUCUUGACGAGUGGAGGAAGAAGGCUAUAAGUCGUAAACUCUAAUAGCCUUGAUAAGAAUGAUAUCAAGGUGGAAAAAGGCUGACAAAGAUCUGUGCCAGCAGUCGCGGGAAUACAGGCAGCUUAAAUCUAUCUCAGUAUGAGUAGGCGUAAAGGGUGCGUAGGCGGUUAAAGAAUCACGAAUAGCAGAUGAAAGAGUUUGAGAUUCGUUGAGUAUUGACUAGAGUUAGAGAGAGGAUAAUGGAAUUUCCAGUGUAGGGAUAAAAUCUGUUAAUAUUGGAAGGAACACCAAAGGCGAAGGCAAUUAUCUGGCUCUAUACUGACGUUGAGGCACGAAGGCUCGGGGAGAAAAAUGGAUUAGAUACCCAUGUAUUCCGAGCUGUAAACGAUGAAUGUUACAAUUUGGAGUGAAUUCAGAUUGUCAGAUAACUCAAUAAACAUUCCGCCUGAAGAGUACAAGCGCAAGCUAGAAACUCAAAAAAAUUGCGGGAAGGGUAAAUUCCCAGUGGAUCAUGUGGUUUAAUUCGACGAUACGCGCGAAACCUUACCAAGCCUUGCAUUCUGUAAUUCAAUUAUAGAACAAGUGUUGCAUGGCCGCUUUCAGUUCGUGCUUUGAGGUGUUUGGUUAAUUCCCUUUAACGAACGAAACCCCGGGUCUAACUAUGAGUAGCUCGACAGAGUAAAGACUCAAUUAGAUCACAACUCGCUCACGUUACGUGGCGGGAGGUAGCAAGGGAUAACAGCAGGUUGCAUGGCCUUUAUGGCUUGGGCUACACACGUGAUACAAUGGUUACGACAGACUGAAGCUUUCUCGUGAGAGAUAAGCAAAGAGGCAAACGUAAUCAUAGUACGGAUUUAAGUCUGAAACUUGACUUAAUGAAGCAGGAAUUGGCAGUAAUCGGAAAGUAGACGCGUUCCGGUGAAGAGUGUUCUACCCUUACGACAAACCGCUCGUCAAGCUGAGAAAGGGUUAGUUCGAUGAAGACAAUCAGUGUUAAGGUUUCAUACCUGAGGCUUUGACAUUGACUGGUUAGUCUGACGACCUAAUUUUGGUUAAGUCGAAACAAGGUAACGGCAUCGGAAGCUGCCGUUGGCUGAAUACAUAC